GAUGAACGCUGGCGGCGUGCCUAAUACAUGCCAGUCGAGCGAACAGACGAGGAGCUUGCUCCUCCGACGUUAGCGGCGGACGGGUGAGUAACACGUGGAUAACCUACCUAUAAGACUGGGAUAACUUCGGGAAACCGGAGCUAAUACCGGAUAAUAUAUUGAACCGCAUGGUUCAAUAGUGAAAGACGGUUUUGCUGUCACUUAUAGAUGGAUCCGCGCCGCAUUAGCUAGUUGGUAAGGUAACGGCUUACCAAGGCAACGAUGCGUAGCCGACCUGAGAGGGUGAUCGGCCACACUGGAACUGAGACACGGUCCAGACUCCUACGGGAGGCAGCAGUAGGGAAUCUUCCGCAAUGGGCGAAAGCCUGACGGAGCAACGCCGCGUGAGUGAUGAAGGUCUUCGGAUCGUAAAACUCUGUUAUUAGGGAAGAACAAAUGUGUAAGUAACUAUGCACGUCUUGACGGUACCUAAUCAGAAAGCCACGGCUAACUACGUG
rnacentral:rRNA from 1 species